rnacentral:rRNA from 1 species
CCUACGGGAGGCAGCAGUGAGGAAUAUUGGUCAAUGGGCUUACGCCUGAACCAGCCAAGUCGCGUGAGGGAAGACUGCCCUAUGGGUUGUAAACCUCUUUUGUCAGGGAGCAACGCCGGCUACGUGUAGCCGGACUGAGAGUACAUGAAGACACAGCAUCGGCUAACUCCGUGCCAGCAGCCGCGGUAAUACGGAGGAUGCGAGCGUUAUCCGGAGUUAUUGGGUUUAAAGGGUGCGUAGGCGGAAUGCCAAGUCAGCGGUAAAAUCGCGGGGCUCAACCUCGCUCCGCCGUUGAAACUGGCGUUCUUGAGUGGGCGAGAAGUAUGCGGAAUGCGUGGUGUAGCGGUGAAAUGCAUAGAUAUCACGCAGAACUCCGAUUGCGAAGGCAGCAUACCGGCGCCCAACUGACGCUGAAGCACGAAAGCGUGGGUAUCGAACAGGAUUAGAUACCCCUGUAGUC